rnacentral:rRNA from 1 species
GACAGAGGUGCCGAGCGUUAGGCGGAAUCACUGGGCUUAAAGCGUGUGUAGGCGGGUCGUUAAGUACCUUGUGAAAUCCCACGGCUCAACCGUGGAACUGCUGGGCAUACUGCGGGUCUUGGGCCAACUAGGGGCAGCCGGAACAAGCGGUGGAGCGGUGAAAUGCGUAGAUAUCGCUUGGAACGCCGAAGGUGAAAACAGGCUGCUGGGGUUGCGCCGACGCUGAGACACGAAAGCCAGGGGAGCAAACGGG